UACGUAGGGGGCAAGCGUUUGUCCGGAUUUAUUGGGCGUAAAGAGCGUGUAGGCGGCCUGACAGGUCUGCUGUGAAAACUCGAGCUCAACCUCGAGACGCCGGUGGAAACCAUCAGACUAGAGUCCGGAAGAGGAGAGUGGAAUUCCUGGUGUAGCGGUGAAAUGCGCAGAUAUCAGGAAGAACACCCGUGGCUAAGGCGGCUCUCUAGUACGGUACUGACGCUGAGACGCGAAAAGCGUGGGGGAGCGAACAGG
rnacentral:rRNA from 1 species